GGCCUGCCCCCUGAGUUUUUAAAUGGCCGCGGUACUUUGACCGUGCAAAGGUAGCAUAAUAAUUAGUUUUUUAAUUGAAAGCUGGAAUGAAAGGUUGGAUGAGAAAAUGACUGUCUCUGUUUAAAUUGUUUAAAAUUUUAUUUUUAAGUAAAAAGGCUUAAAUAAAAAUAGAAGACGAGAAGACCCUAUAGAGUUUUAAUUUAGUUGGGGUGAUUGAAAAAUUUAAUAAACUUUUUUUUUAUACGACCAUUGAUUUAUGAAUAUUUGAUCCUUAGUUAAAGAUUAAAAGUAAAAAUUACCUUAGGGAUAACAGCGUAAUUUUUUUAAAGAGUUCAAAUCGAAAAAAAAGAUUGCGACCUCGAUGUUGGAUUAAAAUUAAUUUAUGGUGUAGGAGCUAUA
rnacentral:rRNA from 1 species